rnacentral:rRNA from 1 species
UGGGGAAUAUUGCACAAUGGGCGCAAGCCUGAUGCAGCCAUGCCGCGUGUGUGAAGAAGGCCUUCGGGUUGCAAAGCACUUUCAGCGGGGAGGAAGGCGAUAAGGUUAAUAACCUUGUCGAUUGACGUUACCCGCAGAAGAAGCACCGGCUAACUCCGUGCCAGCAGCCGCGGUAAUACGGAGGGUGCAAGCGUUAAUCGGAAUUACUGGGCGUAAAGCGCACGCAGGCGGUCUGUCAAGUCGGAUGUGAAAUCCCCGGGCUCAACCUGGGAACUGCAUUCGAAACUGGCAGGCUAGAGUCUUGUAGAGGGGGGUAGAAUUCCAGGUGUAGCGGUGAAAUGCGUAGAGAUCUGGAGGAAUACCGGUGGCGAAGGCGGCCCCCUGGACAAAGACUGACGCUCAGGUGCGAAAGCGUGGGGAGCAAACAGG